GCGGCUGUAACCGGUUUAGGCCGGGGAGAGGCUGAGGCGUCAACUGAACAACUGCGCCGCGCCCCCCCGUUUUUUUCCCCCUCCUCGCGACUGCCGCUGACGUUUAAAGCCGCCCUCCUCCCUGCUGCUGCGGGGUGGUUGUGCCCGAGGGAGGAAGCGAGAGCCAACUGGUGCUUUGCCGCAUCCGCCCGGCUUCCAUCCGCAGUUCUCGCCCUCCCCUGCCGGCACAGAUUACUACACUCUUUGAAAAUAAUUGAAGAUGGCACUUUGUCAGGUUACCUUUGAAAUAAGAGGAAUAUCUCCACCAGUUUAGAAUGCCAGGCCUGGGGAUCGCCAUUCAAAUAACAACCUCUGAGGAAGAUAACAUGAGUGUUAACAGCCCCAAGUCAGCCACUUUUGGUCUCUUCAGCCCAAGACAUAAUCAGUAUUAAUUCUUGCCUUAGCCCUGUAUUCAUACAUUGCACUAGCGAUGAAUCAAGCUACU